rnacentral:rRNA from 1 species
GGCGAACGCUGGCGGCGUGCUUAACACAUGCAAGUCGUACGGUAAGGCCCUUUCGGGGGUACACGAGUGGCGAACGGGUGAGUAACACGUGAGUAACCUGCCCACAACUUUGGGAUAACGCUAGGAAACUGGUGCUAAUACUGGAUAUGUGCUCCUGCUGCAUGGUGGGGGUUGGAAAGCUCCGGCGGUUGUGGAUGGACUCGCGGCCUAUCAGCUUGUUGGUGGGGUAGUGGCCUACCAAGGCGGCGACGGGUAGCCGGCCUGAGAGGGUGACCGGCCACAGUGGGACUGGGAUACGGCCCAGACUCCUACGGGAGGCAGCAGGUGGGAAUAUUGCACAAGGGGCGCAAGCCUGAUGCAGCAACGCCGCGUGCGGGAUGACGGCCUUCGGGUUGAAAACCGCUUUCAGCAGGGACGAAGCUUUUUGUGACGGUACCUGCAGAAGAAGCACCGGCUAACUACGUG